rnacentral:lncRNA from 1 species
AAACUUUGGAGAAAGUGGGUGGACUCGACGACUCACAAGGGUGCACUCGCCAAUUCGGGUAAAAUAUGGACCGUGGACUCGAGUAGCCUUCGGUUGACUUUAGGGUUGGGUCAACCAUGUGUAAUGGAGACCAUGGAGGGGUAAAAUGGUCUUUCAUCCACUUCAAGAGUUAAGAAGGGAGAGAGAGUGACCCUUGGUGUAUUUGAGUAUGAUUAAAGUAUUAUUUAGAGAUAUGUAACCUAUGUGUUAGGAGGAGGCUAGUUCGAGAUGUCCGGGUACGAGAUUUAUACUGGCCAGCUUAUGAGGUAAGUCUUCUCACUACACUUUACCUUGAGUGGUAACUUACGUGUGACCAGAGGGUCUUUUGUGUAUGUGCUGUGUAUUGAGAUAUCCUGCUAUUUGUUUUGUGAUAUUCUUACUGUGUAUUAUAUUGAGAUGCUGAGUUGAGGGACCAGAGGGUUCAUCCAAGUUGUGGGGCCGGAGGGUCCCACUGAGACACAUUGACCGGAGGGUCUUAUUGAGUGAUAGCCUCUAGUGGCUAAUAUGUCGUGUGUGGUAUUUUGGGGAACUAACUAAGCUUCGUGCUUAUCGUGUUAUGUGAUAUGUGUUUAAGGUUCUUCCAAGGUUCUAAAAAGCUCGCCAUGGCUCCGUCAUGGCGCGCCACGACUCCAAGGCUUGCACCUGCCGCCAAGCUUUGCCAAAAUGCCGCCUUAACUCAUAUAUGUGUAUAAAAAUGAAUAAUAGUUGAAAAUACAUAUAAAAAUAUAAAUUAUAUAGAAAAUUGCCGACUUAAGUCACGCCUUACAAACGCCGUGACUCGCCAAGGCUUGGAAAAACUUGAGGCUUGACAUUGCUGCCAAGUCUCGCCUUACGUUAUUUAGAACCUUGGGUUCUUCUCAGGAUCGCGAGAGGGCGCCGGUUCGAUUGUACACACCAGAGAAAGAGUUAUGUUUGAGGAUCCUAGAUUAUUAAUCAAACAAUUAUGUAGUUGCAUUUUGUAAAUUAAAUACAUGGGAUUUUGUGAAAUGUGUUAUGAGAAUUAUGUGAUUUUAAAUCGAAAAAAAAAUUGUUUGAAAAUUUACGGUGUUACAAGUUGGUCUCAGAGUCUUGGUUUGAGGGAUUUGGAUACACCUUCGGGUAUAUUUGGACUCAAACUAGGGAUUUGAGAAAAAAUUUCAAAAGAAAUGAGUUUUCCUAAAAGAGAAAGAGUUUAAGAGAAAUCGAGAUGGAGCAGUGUGUACAAUCAGCCAGAGCCCGAACGGUGAUUUCCCAAAAUACCCUUACUUAUUUGUGAAUACCAAGGUUGCAAAUAACGCUCGACGUUAGCUAGUCGGUGAACAUGGGUCAAAGGAUUAAUCGGCUAGGCGGGGAUUAAUCGGGAACCAUUAAUUAUUAAGAAAAUUAUUCAAAAAUUAAUAAAUCUAACUUCAAUCCUAAAAAUAUAAGUAAAUUAUCAACUUUUAUCACCUUUAUACAUAUAAAUGUAAUAAAUAAGAGAACAUUGAAAUUAUAUAUGUAUAUAAAAAUAUAAUCAAAUAAGAAACAUUCAAAUUUUUGUUGAAAAAAGGUAUAAACUUAAAUAAACACGUUAUAUAAAUACUCAUUCUAAUUCGUUAGACCAAAUUUGCCGAUUACUAAAUUAAAUUUUAUGUAAUCAUGGGGUAGAUAAACAUAGUUUAUUUCAACCUCUAUAUAUGCGUAUUUGUUGUGUAUAAAAGAGAUAUGUAAUAUGUCUUAUGUAUAGAUUAAAUUAAUGUAAUCUAUAAACGAAUAAAUAUCUAUGUGUUGUGUAUGUAUAUAUAUAAAGAAGGAUGUGAACAACAAAGAAAUGGAAAAGUUCAAGGCUUUGGUAUCCCACAUCGCCUGUGGAACAAAAGAUGAAGGCAAACAUGCUUUAUAAAAAGGGGCCUACCUCAUCCUUUUAAAAAAGAACUCAGCCGUCGUUUGAGCUAGCUGGCUCAUUUGAGUCGGCAGUUUCCUUCGCUAGGAGGCUCUAUUGAACCGACAAUUUUAUUGGCUAGGAGCUAUUUCGCUUGACUGACCAGGUCUGAUUAAGGGUCCGAUUUGGACCGUUUUAGUUUGAUUUGGACUGAAUUGGACCAAUUUUGACCAAUUAAGACCAAUGCCGGUUAGCCAACCCUCUAACUCUUAUUCAUAAGCAGUUGGGGGCCGCGAAGCGUCUAGGCGCCGAUUAAUCGGCCGCCUAGACCGAUUUUUACAAUAUUGGUAAAUACCCUUUCUUAAUUGUGUUAUGCGUUAUUAUUGAGAUAUUAGAGAUGCAUGCUAGAAUAUAAUAUUUCAUAUAUCAGGGCUAGAAUUGCCUGAUUUGUAAUGCCUUAGCCUAGGGGUUAUCGCUAUCUGUGAUGUGCUUUGAGUAUGUACGGAGUAAGAGUAUCCAGCAAGAAUCUUUUAGAGAGAGAGCUUUAAGUAGAGGAGUAAUCUAAGAGAGAUAUCUAGAUGAGCAUUUGAGGAGCCAACUAAGGAAGUAGUUAGAUACUCGCGUGGGGUAGAAUUACUUGAGUUCGGUAACAUCUUUGAGUGUGUGUAGAGUAAGUGGAGUUGUAACCUAGAGUGGUUUUACGUGCUGGUGGAGAUGAUUCGAUGCCCGAAUGUUGCUUGCUUCGUGCUUUGUGGAACUCUUGAUGAUGGGAGCCAACUACUAAGCGAAUAUGACGAUAUUCAGGAGGUAGACGACUGGCAUCAUAAGGAGUUCUUCAGUAGCUGAUGGUAGAGAGGUGUGAGAACCUAGGAAGAGUCUGGGGAGUGACCAUUGUCAAAUGAGUAGGCUGAUAGAGGAGAGUAUUCGCAAGAGAGAAACCAGUAUGACGAGAUUAGUGGUUGAGGAGGUUGAGCAACUACUUAGGAAAUCUGAGAUGAUCCGUGUGGAAAGUAUGGGUAGAUGUGGUAGUUAGUAUGGGCCGGUACUACUGAAAACAGAGGACCCAUACCCGAAACAAGGAAAAUUCCAGAGGUUCUAGGUAGCAGACUAAGAGGUAGUCACAUGGUUCGGGUACGAUGAUUCGUGGCGGUUAGUGCUUCUGGUUUUACUAGUUAUUCCAUUGUGAUUAAUUAAACUGAGAACAGAUGUGAUAGAGUGUGGGGCCAGAGGGCCAUGUUGAACAAGUUUCAGUGGGAUCUACCUUGAGAAGGAACUUGAGUUAGUUUCCAGAGAUUUUACUGGUGAGGCGCCAGUUGGAGUCGCAAGACUCAGGGACGAGUAGGGAUGAGGCUUUAUGAGGGAUUCCGGUCUGAGUUGAGCAAUCGGCCAAUAGUGGAGAUGUCACUUUCUGUGACCAAGUGUUGUGCUAUUUCGGUUUCCUGUAAGGGGAAGAAGAGAUAUUGAGCUUCCAGUUUUAGAGUUGGAGGUAAACCCUGUGGGGUAGCAUAUGGUUGUGAUCUUUUCACCAGAGUAUUUGAGCAGCAUGUCUACUGCGAAGUAUGUCCCAUUCCAUGAGAAAGUUAUUAUUGGAGACUGAGAUAUAAGAGAACCAGGAAGUACCAUCCUGGGAGAGGCAUACUUUUUAGCAGCAGUUCCAGGAGAUUUCGAGGAAUAUAUCAGGGAGGUGGCCCUCGAGUUAGGAUUUUGCAUCGGUUAUGAGAGUGAGGCCUUAUGCCUUUAUGAUGAUUCCCGUAUUGGGAGGCGGUUCGAUGAGUCAGAGACGAGGUGUGCGAUAGUGCAUUAUUUCCAGACUAAGGGUCAGGGUUAAUUCGGAACAGUGAGGUAUCCGGCGGUGUGAUAGCCUGAGAUUUUGAGACGACCAGAGGCAGUCAAGUUGGGAGGAUUCUGAGUUUCUCUUUUGAGAUUUGGGAUAUUUGGAGACGCUUAGUUUCCACCAGGAAGAUCAUGGAAUGAUUAUGUGGUACGUUCCAAGAGUCAAGGGCGAUGUACCGGGAGAAAACAGUCUGUGGAAUAGACUAUCGGUAUGCCAAUUGGUGAUAGUUUGAACCCUGAGUGGGGGAGGACUGGGUGUUCUAGUGAGAGGAUCAACGAUCUGUUCAAGUGCGUUUAGAGAACUGGUUAUGGGGAUCUGCGGUACGGAUAAAUGAGACCUGGGUUAUCGGUAGAUGAGGCGAGGUGCGAGAUGGGAAGAUUUAUGAGUAUGUGUUUAAGGAAGGAUGCGUGUACCCGCGACAGGUGGCCGUUGGUCAGAGAAUUUAUUAUGGCUAGGGAUUUAUGGGUUUGAAAAUGUCGAAUUUGAGGCGGUUGGGUCGCUAAGUUCAGAGAGCAAUAGCAGAGGUUUGCGGGUAUACAUAUAAAAUGUGAUCUAUACUCCAAGAGAGGCGGCAGUUGAUUUGUAAAUCAAUUUUAGAGUCGGUAUGAGUAAUUUCUUAUGACUAGUGAUCAGUAGAGGAUGGAGCUUCGGGUUUUCGUAGACGAGUUCUGAGUCAUUGACGACGCCUCUGUGUUUAAUUGGGAAAGGGAAUACUCCAAGGUUACAAGUGGUGCAAGCGGAAGAUUGGUUGCAAGGUUCUGAUGAAGCAAUGCGGUAACUGAGUAUGAUGCUGGGUGUAUGAGAUCAGUGAUAGAUACAAGGCAUCGUGAAGUUUUUUGAUGGUGUUUUGAGAUAUACGAGUGUGAUGUCCUAGAUACAGAUUAUUUUGAGUUUUGAGUUAAGAGAUGGCAAGUGGUGUAGCGAGUAUCUAUGGUUCCGGAGGGAGUCCUUUGGCUAAUUGACAUCAAGCUAGAUUAGUUAAGAAUGGGAAUUGAAGCAAAAAAGGGGGGUUUUGUUAUGGUAGGUUAUCGUCAGGAGUAGUGAUGCUUAUUUUUGGAUGGGUGUGUGAGCACCUAUUUAUGUUGAGCUGCGGAGCAUGAGUUGGUGAACUCAGUAUGGUGAUGCUUGAUGAUGAGGUUAUAAGGUGAUAAGAGAGCAAGCGAAUCUGGGUGGGAGUGUUCCCUUGGGAUUAUCAAGAGGAACCGUGGAAUGAGGCUAUGGUGAGUCAAUGAGCGAGAGAAGUGUUGUAAGGCUAUGGGGAGCCGUAGUAUGCAUUGGGUAGUGGGAGAAGACUGUGAUAUUGUUGGGAGCCGUGGUAUUCACUAGUCAGCGAGCGAGUGUCAUGAUACUACGGGGAGUCGUAGUAUUCACUGGUUAGAGAAAGAGAGAGAGAGAGUGUGUGUGUGUGUGUAUUUGUGUGUGUGUAUGUGAUACUACGGGGAUCCGUAGCAUUCACAAGUCAAAGAGUAUCACAUGGCUACGGGGGAGGUCGUAGCACUCAGCAGUCAAUAAGAGUAAAUGUUGUUCCGCGGGGGAACUGUAGUAUUCACUAGUUAAAAUAUGAGGCAGAAGAGUUCCAAGGCUUGAGUAGCCUUAUCUUUGAGUUUGUGGGAAAUUGUUGGUCAGGCCAUGAAGAGACUGGGGUCUCCCUAAUGGACGGGAGUCGUCAUAGACCAAGCAAAGGCGUGGUAAUCGUAUUCGGAAGUAAUUGGAGGGAUGAUGUGUGCAUAAUCCUCCAAUUGUGGGUCAUGAAUGAGUACCAGAUUGGAAUGAGUAUUUCUAAUUCUACUGUUGAAUCGGACUCUCGAGCUCGAGUUUGGAUCCAUUAGUGUAAUUGAAUAGGCGAGAUGAGGUUCCAGAUUCGUAGGUGGGUUUCAUUUUGAGGAAUAUUGAUCUCCAUCUGAUAUCUUAAGCCGGAGUGGAUCCGUUUCAUUGAUAUGAGAAGUACUGCGAGAUGCAGGGAAUCAGGGGAUGAUGGAUGAUAUAGAUUGAAGAUGAGAUGACUUCAGAUGAGUUGUAGCUUUCGCUAGGGGUAAAGCGAAUUUCGCGACUUGUGUGUCGCGAUGAGUUGAGAAGGCGAUCAUGAGAAGGAAGUCGGUGAGACGUUUUGGUUUAUAGUGAAUAACCUUUGGAGGAUCAUCUUUUAGGUCGGGAUUUGACCUGAUGCUCGGUGUUGGGAGGGAGAUUUGGGAGGAAGGCGUGCCUUUAGAUGUCAGAGGAUACUUCCAAGCGAGCAUGGCCUUUUCUUGUGUUUAUGGUCAGAGUUUCAAGGAUCAUUCCAUCAGAAGGGUUUUGAUAGCUUUUCCGGCAGUGGGUCCUUAGUGGGUUGUGACCUUUUUGUCCCUCUUGAGUUCGACCGGGACCGAUUAUAGAAUCAGAGAGGCAGUAAGUUUUGGGGUUGUUAUUCGAGGAGCGAAUAACAUGGAUAUAUAUUGAAAGGGAUAGUUUGGUAGUGUGACAGACCACUAGAGUCUCCAGAUUCAGGAAGCCAGAAGAAGUAUCGUCGCGGCAAUCGAGUCUGUCCUUUUCGGGGUUUGAGAGCUUGGGACCAGGUACCAUUGAAGGAUGAUAGUUGUGUGGUAUGAAGUCAUAUUGGGUAGUGCUUCCCGGACUUUUGAAUUUUGAGCUAUGUGAUGUCUAGAGCGAUUUCGAGGGCAGAAUCAAAUUAAGUGGGGGAGAUUUGUAACAUCCGGAUUUUCAGGUAUAUUAUUUUUUUGCUUCAAUUUUGAGGUUUAAGGAGAGACUCGCCGAGUCGAAGGUCUGAAUCGCCGAGUCGUGUCGAGUUGCCCACGUGGAUUUAAUGAGUGAACUCGACGAGUCAGAGGACUGACUCGCCGAGUAGGUCCUGGGCAGAGAAAACCCUAAGUUCGGGGGUUGGCGCCUAUUUAAGGGAACUUAUAACCUAAGAGGCGCCUCACCAGCUGCCCAUACCUCCUGUGAGAAACCCUAGAUCGCCAUUGGAGCAAUGAGAGAGUUCUUAUGAUGAAAUCAAGUAUUUGGUGGGUCUUUUGGAAGGAGAAGAGUAUGAUUCAAGCAAGAAACGAGAUGGGGGCUUUGGAUCUAGCACUUCUUCACGUGGGGUUGCUGUAGAAGGUAUAAGAUUGCAUCCUUUUCAUCUAUUUUGAUUAGAUCUCAUGAUUAUGGGAGUUUUAGGGUUUUACUCCCCUUCUUUUGUACCUAUGAGUUAUUUGAGACAUGAUCUGAGGUAAGAAACCUCAGAUCUGGACCUUAUGAGGUCCUUGAAGACUAGAUACCCCAACUUUAGUUGUCCAAAUGAGGGUAGAUGUGAUAAAUCCUUCAUGAAGGGCAUGUAAUGGCAUUUUGGAGCAAUAACAUCAUGCAUGAACGUAAAUAUCGAAGCUUUACGUGAUUAUUGAGCCUUGAGAUGAUAGAACUAUAGUUUAGAGUGAUAGAUCUGGUUGAAAUCGUCUGAAUGAGAAUGAGUCUGGAUAAACUCGCCGAGUCAAUGAGCCGACUCGACGAGUCGGUUAGGGUUUUCCCGAUCGAGCUGAAUCGCGUGCUAACUCGGCGAGUUGUCGGGUCAACUCGACGAGUUGGGCCGAAUCUCCGCGAAACUUCAGAGAAAGUGGGUGGGCUCGACGACUCACAAGGGUGCACUCGCCAAUUCGGGUAAAAUAUGGACCGUGGACUUGAGUAGCCUUCGGUUGACUUCAGGGUUGGGUCAACCAUGUGUAAUGGAGACCAUGGAGGGGUAAAAUGGUCUUUCAUCCACUUCAAGAGUUAAGAAGGGAGAGAGAGUGACCCUUGGUGUAUUUGAGUAUGAUUAAAGUAUUAUUUAGAGAUAUGUAACCUAUGUGUUAGGAGGAGGCUAGUUCGAGAUGUUCGGGUACGAGAUUUAUACUGGCCAGCUUAUGAGGUAAGUCUUCUCACUACACUUUACCUUGAGUGGUAACUUACGUGUGACCAGAGGGUCUUUUGUGUAUGUGCUGUGUAUUGAGAUAUCCUGCUAUUUGUUUUGUGAUAUUCUUACUGUGUAUUAUAUUGAGAUGCUGAGUUGAGGGACCAGAGGGUUCAUCCAAGUUGUGGGGCCGGAGGGUCCCACUGAGACACAUUGACUGAAGGGUCUUAUUGAGUGAUAGCCUCUAGUGGCUAAUGUGUCGUGUGUGGUAUUUUGGGGAACUAACUAAGCUUCGUGCUUACAGUGUUAUGUGAUAUGUGUUUCAGGUU